UACGUAGGGUGCAAGCGUUGUCCGGAAUUAUUGGGCGUAAAGAGCUCGUAGGCGGUUGGGUAAGUCGGGUGUGAAAACUCCAGGCUCAACUUGGAGAUGCCACCCGAUACUGCUCUGACUUGAGUUCGGUAGGGGAGUGGGGAAUUCCUGGUGUAGCGGUGAAAUGCGCAGAUAUCAGGAGGAACACCGGUGGCGAAGGCGCCACUCUGGGCCGAAACUGACGCUGAGGAGCGAAAGCGUGGGUAGCAAACAGG
rnacentral:rRNA from 1 species